rnacentral:rRNA from 1 species
GAUGAACGCUAGCGGCAGGCCUAGCACAUGCAAGUCGAGGGAGAGGUUACCUUCGUGUAACCAAGACCGGCGCACGGGUGCGUAACGCGUAUACAAUCUGCCUUUCACAUAGGGAUAGCCCGAAGAAAUUUGGAUUAAUACCUAAUGGUAUAUAGGAGCGGCAUCGUUUUUAUAUUAAAGCUACGGUGGUGAAAGAUGAGUAUGCGUUCUAUUAGCUAGUUGGAGAGGUAACGGCUCCCCAAGGCGACGAUAGAUAGGGGUUCUGAGAGGGAUGUCCCCCACACUGGUACUGAGAUACGGACCAGACUCCUACGGGAGGCAGCAGUGAGGAAUAUUGGACAAUGGUCGGAAGACUGAUCCAGCCAUGCCGCGUGCAGGAUGAAGGUCCUAUGGAUUGUAAACUGCUUUUGUAAGGGAAGAAUAAGGAGUACGUGUACUUUGAUGACGGUACCUUACGAAUAAGCAUCGGCUAACUCCGUGCCAGCAGCCGCGGUAAUACGGAGGAUGCGAGCGUUAUCCGGAAUCAUUGGGUUUAAAGGGUCCGUAGGCGGGCUGAUAAGUCAGAGGUGAAAGCGCUUAGCUCAACUAAGCAACUGCCUUUGAAACUGUCAGUCUUGAAUGAUUGUGAAGUAGUUGGAAUGUGUAGUGUAGCGGUGAAAUGCUUAGAUAUUACACAGAACACCGAUAGCGAAGGCAUAUUACUAACAAUUUAUUGACGCUGAUGGACGAAAGCGUGGGGAGCGAACAGG